rnacentral:rRNA from 1 species
CCUACGGGCGGCAGCAGUGAGGAACAUUGGUCAAUGGCCGAGAGGCUGAACCAGCCAAGUCGCGUGAGGGAAGACGGCCCUACGGGUUGUAAACCUCUUUUGUCGGGGAGCAAAGCGAGUCACGUGUGACUCAUUGAGAGUACCCGAAGAAAAAGCAUCGGCUAACUCCGUGCCAGCAGCCGCGGUAAUACGGAGGAUGCGAGCGUUAUCCGGAUUUAUUGGGUUUAAAGGGUGCGCAGGCGGAGGUGCAAGUCAGCGGUCAAAUUGCGGGGCUCAACCCCGUACUGCCGUUGAAACUGCAUCCCUUGAGUGCGCGAGAAGUAUGCGGAAUGCGUGGUGUAGCGGUGAAAUGCAUAGAUAUUACACAGAACACCGAUUGCGAAGGCAGCUUGCUAGGCCGGAUCUGACACUGAUGCACGAAAGCGUGGGGAUCGAACAGGAUUAGAUACCCGAGUAGUC